CUCGAAGAAAGAUGGAACGAAGGCACGAUCCUUCGUGAACGUAAUCGGUACACAUAGUUGCGACAGAACCUCUUCGUACAUCUUCAAUGAUUCCGGGCAGGACGCACCAUUUCCCUAGGAUUUGAAAGACGAGAUAUUAGUGGGCUUCAACACCUUCACCGAUGAGUUGAGGAUCAGUCUAAUAAAGUCCCAGGCAUCACCGUGGGGUGUUGUGCUGAUAGGAAUAUCCGUCAGAUCGCCGAAAACGUAAUCGAACUGACGUCCUUCCUCGAUCAUGUGCGCUAAUGCUUUUACGCAAUCGCCAACUAUGAUCUGUAACACACAACGAUGAAUUCAAGAUUUUGAAAAUCUGUAAGAUCAGAAUUAAUUGCUAAACCUUUAUUAUACCUUUAUUCGAAAGUGUAGAUACAUGUAAUAAAAACUAUUCCAAACUAUCCAUACUGGUAAUAAAAACACAGACAUUAUAUUCGAUACAUUUUGAAUUACUCUACAAUAUUAUGUCGAUCAUAGUUUGAGUUGUUAAAGAUAAAAGCGUAGUGUGCAUACUACACCACAAUUGUAAAAUAUGCUAUACCAAAAUUAAUGUAUUGUAUCAUAGAAUAUAUAAUCCAUAGAGAAUUACAGAAAAGCCUUAGAAAAUAAGACGCAACAGUCAAAGA